UACGGAAGGGGCAAGCGUUGUUCGGAAUCAUUGGGCGUAAAGGGCGCGUAGGCGGUCUUGUAUGUCUGCUGUAAAAGCCCACGGCUCAACCGUGGAGGGUCGGUAGAAACUGCGAGACUUGAGGCUGGGAGAGGCUGGUGGAAUUCCCUGUGUAGCGGUGAAAUGCGUAGAUAUAGGGGAGAACACUCGUGGCGAAGGCGGCCAGCUGGACCAGUCCUGACGCUGAGGCGCGACAGCGUGGGGAGCAAACAGG
rnacentral:rRNA from 1 species